GGAGGGGUGGCAGAGUGGACGAAUGCACCGGUCUUGAAAACCGGAGGGCCUGCAAGGGUCCCGCGGGUUCGAAUCCCGCCCCCUCCG
rnacentral:tRNA from 1 species